AGUGAACGCUGGCGGUAGGCCUAACACAUGCAAGUCGAACGGCAGCACAGUAAGAGCUUGCUCUUACGGGUGGCGAGUGGCGGACGGGUGAGGAAUACAUCGGAAUCUACUUUUUCGUGGGGGAUAACGUAGGGAAACUUACGCUAAUACCGCAUACGACCUACGGGUGAAAGCAGGGGAUCUUCGGACCUUGCGCGAUUGAAUGAGCCGAUGUCGGAUUAGCUAGUUGGCGGGGUAAAGGCCCACCAAGGCGACGAUCCGUAGCUGGUCUGAGAGGAUGAUCAGCCCCCCGGGACCUGAGACACGGUCCAGACUCCUACGGGAGGCAGCAGUGGGGAAUUUUGGACAAUGGGCGCAAGCCUGAUCCAGCCAUCCCGCGUGGGUGAAGAAGGCCUUCGGGUUGUAAAGCCCUUUUGUUGGGAAAGAAAGCAGCAGGUUAAUACCCCGCUGUUCUGACGGUACCCAAAGAAUAAGCACCGGCUAACUUCGUG
rnacentral:rRNA from 1 species